rnacentral:ncRNA from 1 species
AUGUGCAUCACUAAUUAAAACAAAGCAUUGUGAAGGUCCGCGGUGGGUGUUGAUGCAAUGUGAUUUCGGCCCAUUGCUCUGAAUGUCAAAGUGAAGAAAUUCUUUUAAGCUUAGGUAAAUGGCGAGAGGAACUAUGACUCUCUUAAGGAGGCAGCUCCUUUAAGGGAAAGGGUCUGGUUACACGGUCACAGCAGGUUUAUGCCAGGUACCUCCCUGUGGUUCUCACUGGGUGCUGAAAGCAAAAAGCCUUUCAGUAGCUCAAUCCUGGUACAGAGCUGUCAGGGAGUUCUUCCCAGGGAGUUCGCUCCCUCCUCCCCCUCCCAGGUUGCCUCACACGCUUCCAGGGGUUAACUCCUCAUAGCAAAAAACAUGAUGCCUUGAGGGCAGAUUGCCAGGCAACUCUGGCCUAACUGUUGGUCACUCAGUUGAAUGUGGCUAAUUAAUCAGUUGGGCAGCGGGUUGCUUGACUGUAUAACAAGGUCUGUGCGUCCAGCCCGAAUCAGGAUGCGGAAACUACAGGAAUUGACAGGAAUCCCUUCAGAAUUGAUGGGGGCUAGAGAGGCACUAACCAAAUCUGAAACUUCAUGGAAUUGACUGUACAGUUUGAGUAGUUCUCCCUCAACCUUGUGUGUCGUGUUAACCAGUUGGGUGUGGAAGCUCAGCUGCCCAUUAUGUACAAGUUGAGUAGCUCUCCCUCAACCUUGUGUUGUGCUGACAGAGGUGAAACUUGUUGACUGGUGCAAGAUGCACUUGAGUGCUAGCCAGUUGGGUGCAGAACCUCAGCUGCAUGUCAUGGGCUGAGGCCUAAUAAUGCAAGGGACUGGUAUUGGGAUUAAGAGGGGCCUGGGGCAUUAGGCCUGUGCCAUGAGGGGUGAAACACUUUGACUGGUGCUGCUUAGACUGGAAUGGAAGCUUUUGCCAAGAAUGUUUCGUUAGUUUGGUAUCAGGAUUCAGAGGGGCCCAGGGCAUUGGUCCUGUGCUGUGAGGGAUGAAACCCUAAGAUCGGUGCUGGAUGAACUGAAUGGAAGCAUUUGCCAAGAAUGUUUCUUCAGUUAUAAUCAAUGAGCACCCCACUUGAGGGUCUUCUGGACUUGGCCUCAGGGAGCUGUCCUGGAGGCCAUGCUGCUUGGACUCAGGCCAUGGAGCCUGUUCCCCAGUGGGAUCAGAAUCUCGUGAUGAUUACUUCCUAUCUGGUCUUGAGGUGCUAUAAUCAGAUGAUGCAUGACAACGUCACUCUGUUCUGGGCCGUCUGGAACCAUAGCCUUGCUGCAAAAGCAGCUGUGCUGCAUGGGGCAUGCUGAGCUGAUUAGCCAAAUGACUCUAAAUAACCCAAAAGAGGUUCCCUUCGGGGGUACGGUAAAUAGCCAAAUGCCUCAUCAUCUAAUUAGUGACAUGCAUGAAUGGAUGAACAAGAU